rnacentral:rRNA from 1 species
UACGUAGGGAGCGAGCGUUGUCCGGAAUUACUGGGCGUAAAGGGUGCGUAGGUGGCCUAGCAAGUCAGAUGUGAAAUCCCCGGGCUUAACUCGGGGGGUGCAUUUGAAACUGCCAGGCUUGAGUGCAGGAGAGGAAAGCGGAAUUCCUAGUGUAGCGGUGAAAUGCGUAGAUAUUAGGAGGAACACCAGUGGCGAAGGCGGCUUUCUGGACUGUAACUGACACUGAGGCACGAAAGCGUGGGGAGCAAACAGG